rnacentral:tRNA from 1 species
ACCUGGGUGGCUCAGUCGGUUAAGCAUCCGACUUCAGCUCGGGUCAUGAUCUCACAGUUCAUGGGUUCAAGCCCCAUGUCGGGCU